rnacentral:snRNA from 1 species
AUCUCUUCAUGGCCUUUGGCUAAGAUCAAGUGUGGUAUCUGUUCUUAUCAGCUUAAAAUCUGACCUGUCCUCUAUUCAAGGACAAUAUAUUAAAUGUAUUUUUGAGCAAGGAGAUGGAAUAGGAGCUUGCUCCAACCAUUCCAUACAUCAACCCGGUACUGCAGUACCUCCAGGAAUGGUGCAUUCCAA